rnacentral:tRNA from 1 species
UUUAGAGUGGCAGAAGUAUAUGCAAUGGAUUUAAGCUCCAUACAUGAGGUUACUCCUCUAAAA